GGCAGUAUGGUUCAGUGGAAAAGAGCAUCGAAUUUAAAGUUGGAGAGCCCAGCUUCAAAUCUUGGCACUACCU
rnacentral:tRNA from 1 species